AACGAACGCUGGCGGCAGGCUUAACACAUGCAAGUCGAACGCGUGUAGCAAUACACGAGUGGCGCACGGGUGAGUAACGCGUGGAUAUCUGCCUUUUGGUUCGGAAUAACUCCGGGAAACUGGAGCUAAUACCGGAUGGUUCCUUCGGGAUAAAGAUUUAUCGCCAAAAGAUGAGUCCGCGUACGAUUAGCUAGUUGGUGAGGUAAUGGCUCACCAAGGCGACGAUCGUUAGCUGGUCUGAGAGGACGAUCAGCCACACUGGGACUGAGACACGGCCCUGACUCCUACGGGAGGAAGCAGUGGGGAAUAUUGGACAAUGGGGGCAACCCUGAUCAAGCCAUGCCGCGUGAGUGAUGAAGGCCUUCGGGUUGUAAAGCUCUUUUGGCGGGGACGAUGAUGACGGUACCCGCAGAAUAAGCCCCGGCUAACUUCGUGCCAGCAGCCGCCGUAA
rnacentral:rRNA from 1 species